rnacentral:rRNA from 1 species
CCCUUGUCAUUAGUUGCUACGAAAGGGCACUCUAAUGAGACUGCCGGUGACAAACCGGAGGAAGGUGGGGAUGACGUCAAGUCCUCAUGGCCCUUAUGGGUAGGGCUUCACACGUCAUACAAUGGUACAUACAGAGGGCUGCCAACCCGCGAGGGGGAGCUAAUCCCAGAAAGUGUAUCGUAGUCCGGAUUGUAGUCUGCAACUCGACUGCAUGAAGUUGGAAUCGCUAGUAAUCGCGGAUCAGCAUGUCGCGGUGAAUACGUUCCCGGGUCUU